UACGUAGGGGGCAAGCGUUGUCCGGAAUCAUUGGGCGUAAAGAGCGUGUAGGCGGCUCGAUAAGUCCGUUCUGAAAGUCCAGGGCUCAACCCUGGAAAGCGGGUGGAUACUGCCGGGCUAGAAUCCGGAAGAGGCGAGUGGAAUUCCUGGUGUAGCGGUGGAAUGCGCAGAUAUCAGGAGGAACACCAAUAGCGAAGGCAGCUCGCUGGGACGGUAUUGACGCUAAGGCGCGAAAGCGUGGGGAGCAAACAGG
rnacentral:rRNA from 1 species